CUCCACACCUCUUAUAAUGGAAUCACCCAACAACAACUGCUUUCUAUUAGGCCUCACCAUAGUCUCCAAGCCGGUCUCCACAACACCACUAGUCUCAGUGCCUCUCUCCACAACACCACUAGUCUCAGUGCCUCUCUCCACAACACCACUAGCCUCAGUGCCUCUCUCCACAACACCACUAGCCUCAGUGCCUCUCUCCACAACACCACUAGUCUUAGUGCCUCUCCUCACAACACCACUAGCCUCAGUGCCUCUCUCCACAACACCACUAGCCUCAGUGCCUCUCUCCACAACACCACUAGUCUUAGUGCCUCUCUCCACAACACCACUAGCCUCAGU